GACCUAAUCCGCCCUCGGCGGUAUGGUUGUUUGAAAAUCCAUUAGGAAUAUAAAGCUCGUCGUCAGAGCACUAUUCCUAGUGGUCGGUACUGGAAACGGUAUCGGGUAGCCUUGGCUAUC
rnacentral:ncRNA from 12 species